rnacentral:rRNA from 1 species
CCUACGGGGGGCUGCAGUGGGGAAUAUUGCACAAUGGGCGCAAGCCUGAUGCAGCGACGCCGCGUGAGCGAUGAAGGCCUUCGGGUCUUAAAGCUCUGUCCUAAGGGAAGAAUAAUGACGGUACCUUAGGAGGAAGCCCCGGCUAACUACGUGCCCGCAUGCGCGGUAAUACGUAGGGGGCGAACGUUAUCCGGAAUCACUGGGCGUAAAAGGUGCGUAGGCGGCCCUGCAAGUGAGGAGGUAAAUCCGUCGGCUCAACCGAGGUCAGCUCUUGAAACUGUAGGGAUUGGGUGGAGGGGAGGAGCGAGGGAUUCCUACUGUAGCGGUGAAAUGCGUGGAAAGUAGGAGGAACACAAGUGUCGAAGGCGGCUAUCUGGACUGCAAGUAACGCUGAGGAACGAAAGCGUGGGGAGCGAACAAGAUUAGAUACCCGAGAAAGC